GACAGAGGGGGCAAGCGUUGCUCGGAAUUACUGGGCGUAAAGGGCGCGUAGGCGGGAUGGCAAGUCGGUCGUGAAAUCCUUCGGCCCAACCGAAGAACGUCGAUCGAUACUGCUGUUCUAGAGGAUUGCAGAGGAGACUGGAAUUCCCGGUGUAGCGGUGAAAUGUGUAGAGAUCGGGAGGAACACCGGUGGCGAAGGCGGCAUCCUGGACCGGUAUUGACGCUGAGGCGCGAAAGCCAGGGGAGCAAACGGG
rnacentral:rRNA from 1 species